UACGAAGGGGGCUAGCGUUGCUCGGAAUCACUGGGCGUAAAGCGCACGUAGGCGGAUCUUUAAGUCAGGGGUGAAAUCCUGGAGCUCAACUCCAGAACUGCCUUUGAUACUGGGGAUCUCGAGUCCGGAAGAGGUGAGUGGAACUCCGAGUGUAGAGGUGAAAUCGUAGAUAUUCGGAAGAGCACCAGUGGCGAAGGCGGCUCACUGGUCCGGUAUUGACGCUGAGGUGCGAAAGCGUGGGGAGCAAACAGG
rnacentral:rRNA from 1 species